rnacentral:rRNA from 1 species
AUUGAACGCUGGCGGCAGGCCUAACACAUGAAAGUCGAACGAGUGGCGGACGGGUGAGUAAUGUCUGGGAAACUGCCUGAUGGAGGGGGAUAACUACUGGAAACGGUAGCUAAUACAGCAUACCAUCGGAUGUGCCCAGAUGGGAUUAGCUAGUAGGUGGGGUAACGGAUCACCUAGGCGACGAUCCCUCGGGGGUCUGAGAGGAUGACCAGCCACACUGGAACGGAGACACGGUCAAGACUCCUACGGGAGGCAGCAGGGGGGAAUAUUGCACAAUGGGCGCAAGCCUGAUGCAGCCAUGCCGCGUGUAUGAUGAAGGCCUUCGGGUUGUAAAGUACUUUCAGCGGGGAGGCGUUACCCGCAGAAGAAGCACCGGCUAACUCCGUGCCAGCAGCCGCGGUAAUAC